GAUCCUGGCUCAGGAUGAACGCUAGCUACAGGCUAACACAUGCAAGUCGAGGGGCAGCAUGGGAUUAGCUUGCUAAUCCUGAUGGCGACCGGCGCACGGGUGAGUAACGCGUAUCCAACUUCCCCCUGCUCAGGGAUAGCCCGGUGAAAACCGGAUUAAGACCUGAUAGUUUCACUAGAUGGCAUCUGACGGUGAAUAAAGGUUUCGGCAAGGGAUGGGGAUGCGUCUGAUUAGCUUGUUGGCGGGGUAACGGCCCACCAAGGCGACGAUCAGUAGGGGUUCUGAGAGGAAGGUCCCCCACAUUGGAACUGAGACACGGUCCAAACUCCUACGGGAGGCAGCAGUGAGGAAUAUUGGUCAAUGGGCGGAAGCCUGAACCAGCCAAGUAGCGUGCAGGAUGAACCGGCCCUAUGGGUUGUAAACUGCUUUUGUGCGGGAAUAAAGUGAGGCACGUGUGCCUUUUUGUAUGUACCGCAUGAAUAAGCAUCGGCUAAUUCCGUGCCAGCAGCCGC
rnacentral:rRNA from 1 species